UACGAAGGGGACUAGCGUUGUUCGGAAUCACUGGGCGUAAAGCGCACGUAGGCGGAUUCGUAAGUCAGGGGUGAAAUCCCGGGGCUCAACCUCGGAACUGCCUUUGAUACUGCGGGUCUUGAGUCCGAUAGAGGUGGGUGGAAUUCCUAGUGUAGAGGUGAAAUUCGUAGAUAUUAGGAAGAACACCGGUGGCGAAGGCGGCCAUCUGGACGGAUACUGACGCUGAGACGCGAAAGCGUGGGGAGCAAACAGG
rnacentral:rRNA from 1 species